UGCAAGUCGAGCGGAUCUUCAUUAGCUUGCUUUUGAAGAUCAGCGGCGGACGGGUGAGUAACACGUGGGCAACCUGCCUGUAAGACUGGGAUAACUUCGGGAAACCGGAGCUAAUACCGGAUAAUCCUUUCCCUCACAUGAGGGAAAGCUGAAAGACGGUUUCGGCUGUCACUUACAGAUGGGCCCGCGGCGCAUUAGCUAGUUGGUGAGGUAACGGCUCACCAAGGCAACGAUGCGUAGCCGACCUGAGAGGGUGAUCGGCCACACUGGGACUGAGACACGGCCCAGACUCCUACGGGAGGCAGCAGUAGGGAAUCUUCCGCAAUGGACGAAAGUCUGACGGAGCAACGCCGCGUGAACGAUGAAGGCUUUCGGGUCGUAAAGUUCUGUUGUCAGGGAAGAACAAGUACCGGAGUAACUGCCGGUACCUUGACGGUACCUGACCAGAAAGCCACGGCUAACUACGUGCCAGCAGCCGCGGUAAUACGUAGGUGGCAAGCGUUGUCCGGAAUUAUUGGGCGUAAAGCGCGCGCAGGCGGUUCCUUAAGUCUGAUGUGAAAGCCCCCGGCUCAACCGGGGAGGGUCAUUGGAAACUGGGGAACUUGAGUGCAGAAGAGGAGAGCGGAAUUCCACGUGUAGCGGUGAAAUGCGUAGAGAUGUGGAGGAACACCAGUGGCGAAGGCGGCUCUCUGGUCUGUAACUGACGCUGAGGCGCGAAAGCGUGGGGAGCGAACAGGAUUAGAUACCCUGGUAGUCCACGCCGUAAACGAUGAGUGCUAAGUGUUAGAGGGUUUCCGCCCUUUAGUGCUGCAGCAAACGCAUUAAGCACUCCGCCUGGGGAGUACGGCCGCAAGGCUGAAACUCAAAGGAAUUGACGGGGGCCCGCACAAGCGGUGGAGCAUGUGGUUUAAUUCGAAGCAACGCGAAGAACCUUACCAGGUCUUGACAUCCUCUGACACCCUAGAGAUAGGGCGUUCCCCUUCGGGGACAGAGUGACAGUGUGCAUGGUUGUCGUC
rnacentral:rRNA from 2 species